UACGGGGGGAGCAAGCGUUGUUCGGAUUUACUGGGCGUAAAGAGCGCGCAGGCGGUCGUUCAAGUCGAGUGUGAAAGCCCCCGGCUCAACUGGGGAGGGUCACUUGAUACUGAUCGACUGGAAGGCAGGAGAGGGAAGCGGAAUUCCCGGUGUAGUGGUGAAAUGCGUAGAUAUCGGGAGGAACACCAGUGGCGAAGGCGGCUUCCUGGCCUGUUCUUGACGCUGAGGCGCGAAAGCUAGGGGAGCAAACGGG
rnacentral:rRNA from 1 species